rnacentral:rRNA from 1 species
CAAAAACAUAGCCCUUAAACAAAUUAAAGGUGCAACCUGCCCAAUGGUUUUAAUAAUUUUUAAUAACCAAAAAAACUUAAACCGAAUGGCUGCAGUAACUAUGACUGUAUGAAUGUAGCAUAAUAAUUCGCCACUUAAUUAGUGGAUAGUAUGAAUGGUUAAACGAAAAUUCCUCUGUCUUAUAAAAUAAAAAAAAAAUUUAAAUCAUAGUUAAGAUGCUAUGUUAAACUGUAAGACGAAAAGACCCUAUAAAGCUUAACUACAACCCUUCGAAAAAAAUUUUCAAAAAAGGCAUUCAGAAGGUUUGGUAGUUUCAUUGGGGCGAUGAUCUCUAAAAAAAAACAGAGACACACAAUAUUAAUAAAACAAUUUACUGUUUAAUCAAUUAAUUUAACAGUUACAAUGUAGGUUAUAAAGACCCAUUGUUUUCAUAAAAAAGAAACAAUGAUCAAUAAAUAAAAGCUACUUUAGGGAUAACAGGAUAAUUUUUUUCAAGAGCUCUUAUCGAAAAAAAAGUUUAUCACCUCGAUGUUGAAUUAAGAUAACCUAACGGUGCAGCCGCCGUUGAAGGUAGGUCUGUUCGACCUUUAAAAUCUUACAUGAUUUGAGU